rnacentral:rRNA from 1 species
GAUGAACGCUGGCGGCGUGCCUAAUACAUGCAAGUCGAGCGAACAGAUAAGGAGCUUGCUCCUUUGACGUUAGCGGCGGACGGGUGAGUAACACGUGGAUAACCUACCUAUAAGACUGGGAUAACUUCGGGAAACCGGAGCUAAUACCGGAUAACAUAUUGAACCGCAUGGUUCAAUAGUGAAAGGCGGCUUUGCUGUCACUUAUAGAUGGAUCCGCGCCGUAUUAGCUAGUUGGUAAGGUAACGGCUUACCAAGGCAACGAUACGUAGCCGACCUGAGAGGGUGAUCGGCCACACAGGAACUGAGACACGGUCCAGACGCCUACGGGAGGCAGCAGUAGGGAAUCUUCCGCAAUGGGCGAAAGCCUGACGGAGCAACGCCGCGUGAGUGAUGAAGGUCUUCGGAUCGUAAAACUCUGUUAUCAGGGAAGAACAAAUGUGUAAGUAACUGUGCACAUCGUGACGGUACCUGAUCAGAAAGCCACGGCUAACUACGUG